rnacentral:rRNA from 1 species
GAUGAACGCUGGCGGCGUGCCUAAUACAUGCAAGUCGAGCGAACGGACGAGAAGCUUGCUUUUCUGAUGUUAGCGGCGGACGAGUGAGUAACACGUGGAUAACCUCCCUAUAAGACUGGGAUAACUUCGGGAAACCGGAGCUAAUACCGGAUAAUAUUUUGAACCGCAUGGUUCAAAAGUGAAAGACGGUCUUGCUGUCACUUAUAGAUGGCUCCGCGCUGCAUUAGCUAGUUGGUAAGGUAACGGCGUACCAAGGCAACGAUGCAUAGCCGACCUGAGAGGGUGAUCGGCCACACUGGAACUGAGACACGGUCCAGACUCCUACGGGAGGCAGCAGUAGGGAAUCUUCCGCAAUGGGCGCAAGCCUGCCGGACCAACGCCGCGUGAGUGAUGAAGGCCUUCGGAUCGUAAAACUCUGUUAUUAGGGAAGAACAUAUGUGUAAGGAACUGUGCACAGCGUGCCGGUAACUAAUCAGAAAGCCACGGCUAACCACGUG